rnacentral:rRNA from 1 species
AACGAACGCUGGUGGCAGGCUUAACACAUGCAAGUCGAACGCAUCCUUCGGGGUGAGUGGCAGACGGGUGAGUAACGCGUGGGAACGUGCCCUUCAGUUCGGGAUAACCCAGGGAAACUCGGGCUAAUACCGGAUACGUGCGAGAGCAGAAAGAUUUAUCGCUGAAGGAUCGGCACGCGUCUGAUUAGCUAGUUGGUGGGGUAAUGGCCCACCAAGGCGACGAUCAGUAGCUGGUCUGAGAGGAUGAUCAGCCACAUUGGGACUGGGACACGGCCCAGACUCCGACGGGAGGCAGCAGUGGGGAAUAUUGGACAAUGGGCGCAAGCCUGAUCCAGCCAUGCCUCGUGAGUGAUGAAGGCCUUAGGGUUGUAAAGCUCUUUCGUCCGGGACGAUAAUGACGGUACCGGAAGAAGAAGCCCCGGCUAACUUCGUGCCAGCAGCCGCGGUAA